GUGGGCGGGCUCCCACCUGCCCUUUGCAACCUGAGGCGGGGGGACGGGACACGCCGGUCGUGUUCUCAGCUCCCCAGCCCCGUCUUGCCCCCCCCGCGCUGCCACUGACUGGGCGGCGGGCGGAGCCGGGAGCGCCGCUGUCAGACUCCGGCGGGCAGCGAGGGAGACGCGAGCGGCAGCUGCUCCGGGAGCCCCAGCCGCGCAGAGCCCGGGAGCGGGAGCCGAGGCAGCGCCAUGAGCCAGAAAUGCGACGUGAUCGUGGUUGGGGGCGGCAUCUCAGGUCUGUCGGCAGCCAAGUUGCUGACUGAGUCAGGGCUGAGUGUUGUGGUGUUGGAAGCCCGUGACAGAGUUGGAGGAAGAACUUUCACUGCAAGGAAUAAGCAAGUCCAGUAUGUGGACCUUGGAGGAGCAUAUGUGGGGCCGACACAAAAUCGCAUCCUGCGGUUGUCUAAGGAGCUAGGAAUAGAGACGUAUAAAGUGAAUGAAGUAGAACAUCUUAUUCACCAUGUCAAGGGUAAAAGUUAUCCCUUUAAGGGUGCAUUUCCUACUAUGUGGAACCCUUUUGUCAUCUUAGAUUUCAACAAUCUAUGGAGGACGAUGGAUGAAAUGGGAAAGGAGAUUCCUAAUGAAGCCCCAUGGAAGGCACCACAUGCAGAAGAAUGGGACAAAAUGUCUAUGCAAGAUUUCAUAGACAAAGUUUGUUGGACAAAUGCUAGCAAGAGGUUUGCAACGCUGUUUGUGAAUGUGGAUGUCACCUCUGAGCCUCACGAGGUCUCUGCUCUCUGGUUCCUGUGGUACGUGAAGCAGUGUGGGGGGACAGGCAGGAUAUUCUCCACUACCAACGGUGGGCAGGAGAGGAAGUUUGUUGGAGGUUCUGGUCAGAUUAGUGAGAAGUUAAUGGAACGCUUGGGAGGCCGAGUGAAGCUAGAGAAACCUGUAGUCCGCAUUGAUCAGUCAGGUGAAAAUGUCAUUGUGGAGACCUUAGACCAUGAAUCAUAUGAGGCCAAGUAUGUUAUUAGUGCCAUUCCCCCAGUUCUUGAUUUGAAGAUUCAUUUCAACCCACCAUUACCACCAAUGAGAAACCAGCUGAUCAGCCGGGUUCCCAUGGGCUCAGUCAUCAAGUGCAUGGUAUACUACAAAGAACCUUUCUGGAGGAAAAAGGACUACUGUGGUACCAUGCUCAUUGAAGAUGAGGAAGCUGUGAUUGGAAUGACACUUGAUGAUACCAAACCCAAUUGCAGUGUUCCUGCCAUAAUGGGUUUUAUUCUCGCUCGAAAGUGUAGAAGACUGACACAUCUCACAAAGGAAGAAAGGAAGAAGAGGAUCUGCGAGCUCUAUGCAAAGGUUUUGGGUUCAGAGGAAGCCUUACACCCAGUGCAUUAUGAAGAGAAGAACUGGUGUGAGGAGCAGUAUUCUGGCGGGUGCUACACAGCUUACUUCCCACCGGGGAUAAUGACACAGUUUGGAAGGAUCAUUCGCCAGCCAGUUGAUAGGAUCUACUUUGCUGGAACAGAGACAGCUACAGAAUGGAGCGGGUACAUGGAGGGGGCUGUGCAGGCUGGAGAGAGAGCAGCUAGAGAGAUACUGUGUUCCAUGGGGAAAAUCUCAGAAGGUGAAAUUUGGAAGUCAGAACCAGAAUCAGUUGAUGUCCCAGCCCGGCCAAUCACUACUACCUUUUGGGAGAGAAACUUGCCAUCUAUACCAGGACUACUGAGGCUGGUUGGAUUUUCCACUUUCUUCACUUCAGUGGCUGCUGUUGGGCUAUUUGCCUACAAAAAGGGGCUGCUAGUUCAAAACUGAGAAAGGUGCCAGCACAAAGCUGUGUACUUGUUGUGUCCUUUUUCCAAAGUUUGUUUUGACAUGCACUUCUCUGUCUUCAAAAGCAGAUCAGGACUGGUAAUGGGGGUGAGGGAAAGUAGAGAUGCAAUUUUAGAGUGAGGAUAAGUGAAGGGGUUCAGAUAAGGUAAGGACCCCCUGAACAUUGACCUAUUUUUAGCUUCAUCAUUUGAGGUUGCCCACCACUGUUCUGAGAUGUUCCACUAUGUGUUACUUCACUUUGAGUUUCUAUCCAGGUCUGCAAAUGAAAAUGCCAAAAUACUGUGAGAAAGCUGUUCUUAUGAUAUUUUCAGCCUUUUGUACACUUGUAUCUAACCUAACCUGAACUCUGAACAUUUAAAGGCACGCCCGUCCCGAGUUAUAAGUGGAAUAUUGCCACACUCAUGUUCUGGAGAUCUAAAAGACUUCAGUUGUAGCUUAAAAUAACUUUUGAAUAAAUGUGAAUUGCAGGUGAGGGUCUUUAACAGCACUUACAAAAAAAUGUAAGGCUAAAUUUUGAAAUUGUUGUUUCAAACUAUGUAAGUGCUCAUGAGUUUGUCAAGAGUAUAAUUCCCCACUUUCCAUUUCCAAUCGCAUGUUAUGGACUAUGGACCCAGUGGCACAAAAGAGGCUAUAAAGGUAUCUUAAGUGGCCUCUUGAGGAUUCCCCCAGUCUA